UAGCCUACGGGAGGCAGCAGUGGGGAAUAUUGCACAAUGGGGGAAACCCUGAUGCAGCAACGCCGCGUGAGUGAUGACGGCCUUCGGGUUGUAAAGCUCUGUCUUCAGGGACGAUAAUGACGGUACCUGAGGAGGAAGCCACGGCUAACUACGUGCCAGCAGCCGCGGUAAUACGUAGGUGGCGAGCGUUGUCCGGAUUUACUGGGCGUAAAGGGAGCGCAGGCGGAUUUUUAAGUGAGCUGUGAAAUACUUGGGCUCAACUUGUGUGCUGCAUUUCAUACUGGAAGUAUA
rnacentral:rRNA from 1 species